UUCCGGUUGAUCCCGCCAGACCUGACUGCUAUCGGAUUGAUACUAAGCCAUGCGAGUCAUUGUAGCAAUACAAGGCAGACAGCUCAGUAACGCGUAGUCAACCUAACCUAUGGACGGGAAUAACCUCGGGAAACUGAGAAUAAUGCCCGAUAGAACACUAUACCUGGAAUGGUUUGUGUUCCAAAUGAUUUAUCGCCGUAGGAUGGGACUGCGGCCUAUCAGUUUGUUGGUGAGGUAAUGGCCCACCAAGACUAUUACAGGUACGGGCUCUGAGAGGAGUAGCCCGGAGAUGGGUACUGAGACACGGACCCAGGCCCUAUGGGGCGCAGCAGGCGAGAAAACUUUGCAAUGUGCGAAAGCACGACAAGGUUAAUCCGAGUGAUUUGUGCUAAACGAAUCUUUUGUUAGUCCUAGAACCACUAACGAAUAAGGGGUGGGCAAGUUCUGGUGUCAGCCGCCGCGGUAAAACCAGCACCUCAAGUGGUCAGGAUGAUUAUUGGGCCUAAAGCAUCCGUAGCCGGCUCUGUAAGUUUUCGGUUAAAUCUGUACGCUUAACGUACAGGCUGCCGGGAAUACUGCAGAGCUAGGGAGUGGGAGAGGUAGACGGUACUCGGUAGGAAGGGGUAAAAUCCUUUGAUCUAUUGAUGACCACCUGUGGCGAAGGGGUCUACCAGAACACGUCCGACGGUGAGGGAUGAAGCUGGGGGAGCAACCGGAUUAGAUACCCGGGUAGUCCCAGCUGUAACUAUGCAACUCAGUGAUGCAUUGACUUGUGCCAUGCAGUGCUGCAGGAAGCCGUAGUUGCGCUGCAUACGUACGCAGUAUGAAUUAGAGGA
rnacentral:rRNA from 1 species